rnacentral:rRNA from 1 species
AGCUCCAAUAGCGUAUAUUUAAGUUGUUGCAGUUAAAAAGCUCGUAGUUGGAUUUCGGUUGAGAGCGGCCGGUCCGCCGUUUGGUGUGCACUGGCUGGUCUCAACUUCCUGCGGAGGACGCGCUCUGGGCUUAACGGUCUGGACGUGGAGUCCGCGUGGUUACUUUGAAAAAAUUAGAGUGUUCAAAGCGGGCUUACGCUUGAAUAUUUCAGCAUGGAAUAACACUAUAGGACUCCUGUCCUAUUUCGUUGGUCUCGGGACGGGAGUAAUGAUUAAGAGGAACAGUUGGGGGCAUUCGUAUUUCAUUGUCAGAGGUGAAAUUCUUGGAUUUAUGAAAGACGAACUUCUGCGAAAGCAUUUGCCAAGGAUGUUUUCAUUA